rnacentral:snRNA from 1 species
AAAUAAAAGUCUAUUUGCGUUU